rnacentral:tRNA from 1 species
GGGCCGUUAGCUCAGUUGGUAGAGCAGCGGACUCUUAAUCCGUUUGUCGUAGGUUCGACCCCUACACGGCCCACCA